GGAUGUGAGGGCAGUCUGGCUGUGUCAUCUAUCACCCCAUUGAUCGCCAGGGUUGACUCCUCUGAUCUGGCUGGCUAGGCGGGUAUCCCUGUCCUCCCUCACCAUGCCAUUUGUGUCCCUCCCAAAGCUGUGAAGCUGUGUGCUCUGUCAGUGGAAGAGGAAGGACCUUCCCUGAUAGAGGAGGACCAUUCUUCUAUCAGGACUAGCUGUGCUCCCCUGCUAGAACCUCCAAACGAGCUCUUAAGGUCCAAUUGUAGGAGAACGUAGGAUAGUCAAGCUUCCAAGACUCCAGACACAUCCAAAUGAGGCACCACAUGUGGCACUCUGCCUUUCUUU
rnacentral:snRNA from 1 species